AAUUUUAUAGUUUAAAUUAAAAACAAUAGAGUGCAAAUCUAGAAAAAUAAUAUUCAAUAAUUAUUAUUAAAAUUU
rnacentral:tRNA from 1 species